UUUUUAGCUCACCUGUCCCGAAGGGACAAGUGAGCUUAUGCCAUCACUUGGCGUCUGUCGUCGUCUGUCGUCGUCUGUCGUCGUAAACUAUUUCAAGAAUCUUCUCCUCUGAAACUACUGGGCCAAAUACUUUCAAUCUUUAACUGAAUGUUCCUUAGGGUAUCUGAUUUAUAAAUUGUAUCCGAAGUUUUGAUCUAUCAACAAACAUGGUCGCCAUUGCUAAAAAUAGAACAUAGGGGUCAAAUGCAGUUUUUGGCUUAUAACUCAAAAACCAAAGCAUUAAGAGCAAAUCUGACGUGGGAUAAUAUUGUUUAUCAGGUUAAGAUCUAUCUGCCCUGAAAUUUUCAGAUGAAUCAGACAACCCGUUGUUGGGUUGCUGCCCCUAAAUUGGUAAUUUUAAGGAAAUUUAGCUGUUUUUGGUUAUUAUCUUGAAUAUUAUUAUAGAUAGAGAUAAACUGUAAACAGGAAUAAUGUUCAGCAAAGUAAGAUUUACAAAUAAGUCAACAUGACGGAAAUGGUCAGUUGACCCCUUUAGGAGUUAUUGCCCUUUGUAGUCAAUUUUUAACCAUUUUUCGUAAAUCUUAAUCUUUUACAAAAAUCUUCUCCUCUGAAACUACUGGGCCAAAUACUUCCAAACUUUGAUUGAAUGUUCCUUAGGGUAUCUAGUUUGUAAAUUGUAUCCGAAGUUAUGAUCUAUCAACAAACAUGGUCGCCAUUGCUAAAAAUAGAACAUAGGGGUCAAAUGCAGUUUUUGGCUUAUAACUCAAAAACCAAAGCAUUUAGAGCAAAUCUGACAUGGGGU
rnacentral:lncRNA from 1 species